GCCGGGAUGGCGGAAUUGGUAGACGCACAGGACUCAAAAUCCUGCGAUCGAAAGGUCAUGAGAGUUCGAUUCUCUCUCCCGGCACCA
rnacentral:tRNA from 1 species